rnacentral:rRNA from 1 species
CGGAGGUGCGAGCGUUAUCCGGAUUACUGUUAAGGUGCGUAGCGGCUUGUAAGUCAGGAGUGAAGUUGCGGCUCAACCGUAAUUGCUUCUGAUACUGCAUGGCUAGAUUAGGAUGAGGUCAGCGGAAUGUGGCAUGUAGCGGUGAAUGCAUAGAUAUGCCAUAGAACACCAAUUGCGAAGGCAGCUGGCUAGACCUGGAUUGACGCUGAGCACGAAGCGUGGAGCGAACAGGAUU